UACGGGGGGGGCAAGCGUUUGUUCGGAAUUACUGGGCGUAAAGGGCUCGUAGGUGGCCAAUUAAGUCAGACGUGAAAUCCCCAAGCUUAACUUGGGAACUGCGUCUGAUACUGAGUGGCUUGAAUUCGGGAGAGGGAUGCAGAAUUCCAGGUGUAGCGGUGAAAUGCGUAGAUAUCUGGAGGAACACCGGUGGCGAAGGCGGCAUCCUGGACCGACACUGACGCUGAGGAGCGAAAGCCAGGGGAGCAAACGGG
rnacentral:rRNA from 1 species